rnacentral:rRNA from 1 species
AUUGAACGCUGGCGGAAUGCUUUACACAUGCAAGUCGAACGGCAGCACGGGGCAACCUGGUGGCGAGUGGCGAACGGGUGAGUAAUACAUCGGAACGUGCCCAAUCGUGGGGGAUAACGUAGCGAAAGUUACGCUAAUACCGCAUACGAUCUACGGAUGAAAGCGGGGGAUCGCAAGACCUCGCGCGAAUGGAGCGGCCGAUGUCAGAUUAGGUAGUUGGUGGGGUAAAAGGCUCACCAAGCCGACGAUCUGUAGCUGGUCUGAGAGGACGACCAGCCACACUGGGACUGAGACACGGCCCAGACUCCUACGGGAGGCAGCAGUGGGGAAUUUUGGACAAUGGGCGCAAGCCUGAUCCAGCCAUUCCGCGUGCAGGAUGAAGGCCUGGUGUAA